rnacentral:tRNA from 1 species
GGUCCAUUGGAGCAGUGGUUUAUCUCGCCUCCCUGUCACGGAGGAGAUCGUGGGUUCAAAUCCCACAUCCCACAUGGACCG